rnacentral:rRNA from 1 species
UACGGAGGUGGCAAGCGUUGCUCGGAAUCACUGGGCGUAAAGGGCGCGUAGGCGGGGAGGUAAGUCGGGUGUGAAAUCCCUCGGCUCAACCUGGAGACGCCACCCGAUACUGUCGUGACUAGAGUCCAGUAGGGGAGCGUGGAAUUCCUGGUGUAGCGGUGAAAUGCGCAGAUAUCAGGAGGAACACCAGCGGCGAAGGCGGCGCUCUGGGCUGGCACUGACGCUGAGGAGCGAAAGCGUGGGGAGCGAACAGG